rnacentral:lncRNA from 1 species
AGCUCCAGCCAGCAAAUGCCUCCUACAAACUAACUUUCUCCAAGAGUAGCAGGGUGGACAUGUGUCCCAGGGCCAAUAAUGGAAUGACAUCCUCAAUUAGAUUGGUCCCCUACCCACCCCAAGAAGUCUUAGGCAUUUAUUCGGGAACACAGGCUUUGGAAUAAGAUGAAGUCACCCAAACUCCAUUGUGAAAUCUAGUCUCCUUGCAAUCUGUCUGACCUCAGAGAGGCAAACAAAAUGUCUGUUUGGGAGAUGGUACAGAUGAGGAAAUGAAAGCCUCCGGAUGUAGGUUCUCUGGACCAGACCGCCGCAGCAGAGACCUGUGUUUUCUCCUGGGGAUUCGGAAACCCCACUCCCCUUGCCUUCAGAGGCGCUGCCGCUCUCCAUUGUGGGGCAGAGGUGAAGAAGCAAAGAAAGUGUCCUUUUCAUCCUCGCCAUAGAAUGAAAAACAAUUCAUCACCACAAUUACUCACCAAACCUGAGAGGAGGACAAAAGAAAACAUGUUUACGUUACUUUUUCUUUCAUUAAAAAGCAACACGUGUUUUUGCCCAUCAGAUAGAAAACACAGAUGCAGAAAAAG